CCUACGGGAGGCAGCAGUGAGGAAUAUUGGUCAAUGGGCGGGAGCCUGAACCAGCCAAGUCGCGUGAGGGAAGACGGUCCUAUGGAUUGUACACCUCUUUAGGCGGGGAGCAAAGCCGGGCACGUGUGCCCGGAAGGAGAGUACCCGCAGAAUAAGCAUCGGCUAACUCCGUGCCAGCAGCCGCGGUAAUACGGAGGAUGCGAGCGUUAUCCGGAUUUAUUGGGUUUAAAGGGUGCGUAGGCGGAUUUUUAAGUCAGCGGUAAAAUGUCGGGGCUCAACCCGGGCCGGCCGUUGAAACUGGGGAUCUUGAGUGGGCGAGAAGUAUGCGGAAUGCGUGGUGUAGCGGUGAAAUGCAUAGAGAUCACGCAGAACUCCGAUUGCGAAGGCAGCAUACCGGCGCCCGACUGACGCUGAGGCACGAAAGCGUGGGGAUCGAACAGGAUUAGAUACCCGUGUAGUC
rnacentral:rRNA from 1 species